AUUGAACGCUGGCGGCAGGCCUAACACAUGCAAGUCGAGCGGAUGAAGGGAGCUUGCUCCUGGAUUCAGCGGCGGACGGGUGAGUAAUGCCUAGGAAUCUGCCUGGUAGUGGGGGCUAACGUCCGGAAACGGGCGCUAAUACCGCAUACGUCCUGAGGGAGAAAGUGGGGGAUCUUCGGACCUCACGCUAUCAGAUGAGCCUAGGUCGGAUUAGCUAGUUGGUGGGGUAAAGGCCUACCAAGGCGACGAUCCGUAACUGGUCUGAGAGGAUGAUCAGUCACACUGGAACUGAGACACGGUCCAGACUCCUACGGGAGGCAGCAGUGGGGAAUAUUGGACAAUGGGCGAAAGCCUGAUCCAGCCAUGCCGCGUGUGUGAAGAAGGUCUUCGGAUUGUAAAGCACUUUAAGUUGGGAGGAAGGGCAGUAAGUUAAUACCUCGCUGUUUUGACGUUACCAACAGAAUAAGCACCGGCUAACUUCGUG
rnacentral:rRNA from 1 species